rnacentral:sRNA from 1 species
GGUUUCACCAUGUUGGCCAGGCUGCUCUGGAACUCCUGACCUCUGCCCACCUUGGCCUCCCGAAGUGCUGAGAUUACAGGCGUGAGCCACUGUGCCCGGCCUUUCUGAUGAUAUUCUUAUACAUGUCUCUUGGUACACAUAUAGAAAUUUUCCCUAGCGUAUGGACUUACUGGAUCACAGGAUAUGCACACCUUCAACUUUAUUAGGUAUUGUCCAGUUUUCCCAAGCAUUUGGACUGAUUUAUACUUCCACCAUCAGUGCAAGUGUCUUCUCCACAAAGGGGCUCCUUCUUGCUUCCUCCUAGUAUAAGUAGCUGUUAUGCCACUUAUGAAGAAAUGUUUGUUAGACAAAUGAAUCACAGUCACUAGACUGGGAUAAUUUCCUGUCUUAAAAUUCUUCUCUCUUGGUUUUUCUUUCUUUUCUAUAUUGUAGAAGAACCCAGCAAGUCCCUAUAACCUUGCAUAUAAGUAUAAUUUUGAAUAUUCCGUGGUUUUCAACAUGGUACUUUGGAUAAUGAUCGCCUUGGCCUUGGCUGU